AAGACAACAAGAAGAUCAUAAAAUCACCCAAAAUGUUUGAGAAUAGCUCUGCCCUUGGCCACAGCUCCAGCAACACCCCACAAACAUGCUUGGUGUCCCGUUAUAUAGACAAUUUGAUUUGAGCCAAAAUUAUUAAGAAUUUUGAUAGCCUUAGUAAUGGUUAAUGCUCUUCAGAUUGACAUUUGCAGAAAUACAAAUUAAAAUGUUGACAGUGAAAUUGUCUCCCUCAGUUUCUCUAAUUGUGAUCUUGUCAUGGUAAAUAAAUUCUGACAUGUAG